UACGUAGGUGGCAAGCGUUGUCCGGAUUUACUGGGUGUAAAGGGCGUGUAGCCGGGCUGACAAGUCAGAUGUGAAAUCCGGGGGCUCAACCCCCGAACUGCAUUUGAAACUGUUGGUCUUGAGUAUCGGAGAGGCAGGCGGAAUUCCUAGUGUAGCGGUGAAAUGCGUAGAUAUUAGGAGGAACACCAGUGGCGAAGGCGGCCUGCUGGAUGACAACUGACGGUGAGGCGCGAAAGCGUGGGGAGCAGACAGG
rnacentral:rRNA from 1 species